UUGAAAUGAAUAAAUACAGGG
ensembl:piRNA 21ur-4766 ncRNA